rnacentral:rRNA from 1 species
GGAAACGAUAACUAAUACCGUAUACGCCCUACGGGGGAAAGAUUUAUUGCUAUUAGAUGAGCCUAUAUUAGAUUAGCUAGUUGGUAGGGUAAUGGCCUGCCAAGGCUAUAAUCUAUAGCUGAUCUGAGAGGAUGGUCAGCCACACUGGAACUGAGAUACGGUCCAGACUCCUACGGGAGGCAGCAGUGGGGAAUAUUGGACAAUGAGCGAAAGCUUGAUCCAGCCAUGCCGCAUGAGUGAAGAAGGCCUUUGGGUUGUAAAGCUCUUUCAGUGAGGAAGAUAAUGACGGUACUCACAGAAGAAGUCCUGGCUAACUCCGUGCCAGCAGCCGCGGUAAUACGGAGAGGGCUAGCGUUAUUCGGAAUUAUUGGGCGUAAAGAGCACGUAGGCUGGUUAGUAAGUUAAAAGUGAAAUUCCAAAGCUUAACUUUGGAAUUGCUUUUAAAACUGUUAACCUAGAGGUUGAAAGAGGAUAGAGGAAUUCCUAGUGUAGAGGUGAAAUUCGUAAAUAUUAGGAGGAACACCAGUGGCGAAGGCGUCUAUCUGGUUCAAAUCUGACGCUGAGGUGCGAAGGCGUGGGGAGCAAACAGGAUUAGAUACCCUGGUAGUCCACGCUGUAAACGAUGAAUGUUAAAUAUGGGGAGGGUACUUUCUGUAUUAUAGCUAACGCGUUAAACAUUCCGCCUGGGGACUACGGUCGCAAGAUUAAAACUCAAAGGAAUUGACGGGGACCUGCACAAGCGGUGGAGCAUGUGGUUUAAUUCGAUGCAACGCGAAAAACCUUACCACUCCUUGACAUGGAAAUUGUACCUAUUCGAAAGGAUAGGGUCGGUUUGGCCGGAUUUCACACAGGUGUUGCAUGGCUGUCGUC